GACAGUUCGGUCCCUAUCCGUCGCAGGCGUAGGAAAUUUGAGAAGACCUGUCCUUAGUACGAGAGGACCGGGAUGGACGUACCUCUGGUGUACCAGUUGUUCUGCCAAGGGCAUGGCUGGGUAGCUAUGUACGGAAUGGAUAAGCGCUGAAAGCAUCUAAGCGCGAAGCCAACUUCAAGAUAAGAUUUCCCACCGCAAGGGUAAGACCCCAGAAAGACUA
rnacentral:rRNA from 1 species